rnacentral:rRNA from 1 species
UACGUAGGGUGCGAGCGUUAUCCGGAAUUAUUGGGCGUAAAGAGCUCGUAGGCGGUUUGUCGCGUCUGCCGUGAAAGUCCGGGGCUCAACUCCGGAUCUGCGGUGGGUACGGGCAGACUAGAGUGAUGUAGGGGAGACUGGAAUUCCUGGUGUAGCGGUGAAAUGCGCAGAUAUCAGGAGGAAUACCGAUGGCGAAGGCAGGUCUCUGGGCAUUAACUGACGCUGAGGAGCGAAAGCAUGGGGAGCGAACAGG